CACAGAGUUUGAAACCAAAGCACUGGAGAUGUUUACAUAAAGAAUUGUUACUACACAGAGAGGAUGUGAUGAUAAAGAUGAAGAUAACGAUGAAGUCAAGAAAGCUGUUUGGACUGACCACAGUGGUAUCUCCACUUUUAAAAAGGACAACGAUUUCAAAAGUCUUUUAUAAAAUCUCUCACAAUGAAAGCUAUCACUCUGUUAAUGGAAAAUAAUGAUGGCAGCAGUUACAUGUAACUGGCAUAAAAAUAUAAGAAAGAAAAUAAUAAAGCAUUGAUAAAUCUGUUUCAGAUUCACCAUUCAA